rnacentral:rRNA from 2 species
ACGGGUGAGUAAUGCCUAGGAAUCUGCCUGGUAGUGGGGGAUAACGCUCGGAAACGGACGCUAAUACCGCAUACGUCCUACGGGAGAAAGCAGGGGACCUUCGGGCCUUGCGCUAUCAGAUGAGCCUAGGUCGGAUUAGCUAGUUGGUGAGGUAAUGGCUCACCAAGGCGACGAUCCGUAACUGGUCUGAGAGGAUGAUCAGUCACACUGGAACUGAGACACGGUCCAGACUCCUACGGGAGGCAGCAGUGGGGAAUAUUGGACAAUGGGCGAAAGCCUGAUCCAGCCAUGCCGCGUGUGUGAAGAAGGUCUUCGGAUUGUAAAGCACUUUAAGUUGGGAGGAAGGGCAUUAACCUAAUACGUUAGUGUUUUGACGUUACCGACAGAAUAAGCACCGGCUAACUCUGUGCCAGCAGCCGCGGUAAUACAGAGGGUGCAAGCGUUAAUCGGAAUUACUGGGCGUAAAGCGCGCGUAGGUGGUUUGUUAAGUUGGAUGUGAAAUCCCCGGGCUCAACCUGGGAACUGCAUUCAAAACUGACAAGCUAGAGUAUGGUAGAGGGUGGUGGAAUUUCCUGUGUAGCGG